rnacentral:rRNA from 1 species
GAAGGGUGCAAGCGUUACUCGGAAUUACUGGGCGUAAAGCGUGCGUAGGUGGUUCGUUAAGUCUGCCGUGAAAGCCCCGGGCUCAACCGGGGAAUGGCGGUGGAUACUGGCGGACUAGAGUGCGGUAGAGGGUGGUGGAAUUCCCGGUGUAGCAGUGAAAUGCGUAGAGAUCGGGAGGAACAUCUGUGGCGAAGGCGGCCACCUGGACCAGCACUGACACUGAGGCACGAAAGCGUGGGGAGCAAACAGGAUUAGAUACCCUGGUAGUCCACGCCCUAAACGAUGCGGACUGGACGUUGGGCUCAACUAGGAGCUCAGUGUCGAAGCUAACGCGUUAAGUCCGCCGCCUGGGGAGUACGGUCGCAAGACUG